AGUCGAACGGUGAAGCCAAGCUUGCUUGGUGGAUCAGUGGCGAACGGGUGAGUAACACGUGAGCAACCUGCCCUGGACUCUGGGAUAAGCGCUGGAAACGGCGUCUAAUACUGGAUAUGAGCUCUCAUCGCAUGGUGGGGGUUGGAAAGAUUUUUCGGUCUGGGAUGGGCUCGCGGCCUAUCAGCUUGUUGGUGAGGUAAUGGCUCACCAAGGCGUCGACGGGUAGCCGGCCUGAGAGGGUGACCGGCCACACUGGGACUGAGACACGGCCCAAACUCCUACGGGAGGCAGCAGUGGGGAAUAUUGCACAAUGGGCGGAAGCCUGAUGCAGCAACGCCGCGUGAGGGAUGACGGCCUUCGGGUUGUAAACCUCUUUUAGCAGGGAAGAAGCGAGAGUGACGGUACCUGCAGAAAAAGCGCCGGCUAACUACGUGCCAGCAGCCGCGGUAAUACGUAGGGCGCAAGCGUUAUCCGGGAAUUAUUGGGCGUAAAGAGCUCGUAGGCGGUUUGUCGCGUCUGCUGUGAAAUCCCGAGGCUCAACCUCGGGCCUGCAGUGGGUACGGGCAGACUAGAGUGCGGUAGGGGAGAUUGGAAUUCCUGGUGUAGCGGUGGAAUGCGCAGAUAUCAGGAGGAACACCGAUGGCGAAGGCAGAUCUCUGGGCCGUAACUGACGCUGAGGAGCGAAAGGGUGGGGAGCAAACAGGCUUAGAUACCCUGGUAGUCCACCCCGUAAACGUUGGGAACUAGUUGUGGGGACCAUUCCACGGUUUCCGUGACGCAGCUAACGCAUUAAGUUCCCCGCCUGGGGAGUACGGCCGCAAGGCUAAAACUCAAAGGAAUUGACGGGGACCCGCACAAGCGGCGGAGCAUGCGGAUUAAUUCGAUGCAACGCGAAGAACCUUACCAAGGCUUGACAUACACCAGAACACCGUAGAAAUACGGGACUCUUUGGACACUGGUGAACAGGUGGUGCAUGGUUGUCGUCAGCUCGUGUCGUGAGAUGUUGGGUUAAGUCCCGCAACGAGCGCAACCCUCGUUCUAUGUUGCCAGCACGUAAUGGUGGGAACUCAUGGGAUACUGCCGGGGUCAACUCGGAGGAAGGUGGGGAUGACGUCAAAUCAUCAUGCCCCUUAUGUCUUGGGCUUCACGCAUGCUACAAUGGCCGGUACAAAGGGCUGCAAUACCGUGAGGUGGAGCGAAUCCCAAAAAGCCGGUCCCAGUUCGGAUUGAGGUCUGCAACUCGACCUCAUGAAGUCGGAGUCGCUAGUAAUCGCAGAUCAGCAACGCUGCGGUGAAUACGUUCCCGGGUCUUGUACACACCGCCCGUCAAGUCAUGAAAGUCGGUAACACCUGAAGCCGGUGGCCCAACCCUUGUGGAGCGAGCCGUCGAAG
rnacentral:rRNA from 1 species